rnacentral:lncRNA from 1 species
UUUCUGUGCUGUUAGUCUGAAGUACUAUUACACAUGCAAUAUCAAUUUUUGCAUUUUCUGUUGUUUUUGUGCAUAAGUGUGUGUGGCUGGAAGCAGAUGGAUUUAUUGCCUGAUAUUAUAUGGCAACGAAGUAAAAUAUUCAUCAAGAUGCACAGGACAAGACAAUAAAGAUUCAAGAGAUUUCAUUUAACUCUGAAGAUUUCUGGGGUCAUGGAAGAUGUAACAGCUCUGAAAUGGCUUCCCAUAUUCUGAAAUGGAAAAUGAUGGCAUGUAGUUCUUCAUUUGGAAACGUAGACUUGUUAAAGUUUGCAUUCUGCAAAAUUAUGUUCUGUGAAUUGACAGGAAUCAAGAAUCUGCUCCCAGUAACUUCAGUCUUAUUGGAGUCUGAUCCUCGAUGGGGAUGCUUAUGACUAUAGUCCAUGAAGAUUCUGACUCAGAACAAAGACAGCAUUUUUUAACAAAAUUCAAACUAAAAUGAGAUGAUGAAAUUAUUAACCUCAGAGAAAAACAAAUAUAGAAGAGUGGAGUAUUUCCCAAAGAGAAAGCCGAAGAUAAAUAGAGAAAAAUAAUUACA